rnacentral:tRNA from 1 species
GGAGAGGUGGCCGAGUGGUCGAAGGCGCUCCCCUGCUAAGGGAGUAGGCGGGUUAAACUGUCUCGAGGGUUCGAAUCCCUUCCUCUCCGCCA